UACGUAGGGGGCUAGCGUUGUCCGGAAUCAUUGGGCGUAAAGAGCGUGUAGGCGGUCCGGUAAGUCCGUUGUGAAAGUCAGGGGCUCAACCCUUGAAUGCCGGCGGAUACUGUCGGGCUAGAGUCCGGAAGAGGCGAGUGGAAUUCCUGGUGUAGCGGUGAAAUGCGCAGAUAUCAGGAAGAACACCUAUGGCGAAGGCAGCUCUCUGGGACGGUACUGACGCUGAGACGCGAAAGCGUGGGGAGCGAACAGG
rnacentral:rRNA from 1 species